GGGCCCGCACAAGCGGUGGAGCAUGUGGUUCAAUUCGAUGCAGAGCGAAGAACCUUACCUGGGCUUGACAUGCAGGAAGUAGAACCCCGAAAGGGGAACGACCCGUUAAGUCGGGAGCCUGCACAGGUGGUGCAUGGCUGUCGUCAGCUCGUGCCGUGAGGUGUUGGGUUAAGUCCCGCAACGAGCGCAACCCUCACCCUAUGUUGCCAACGGUUCGGCCGGGCACUCUUAGGGAACUGCCGGCGAAGAGCUGGAGGAAGGGGGGGAUGACGUCAAGUCCGUAUGCCCCUUAUGUCCAGGGCUACACACAUGCUACAAUGGUCGGUACAGAGGGUUGCCAACCCGUGAGGGGGAGCCAAUCCCACAAAGCCGAUCUCAGUUCGGAUUGUAGGCUGCAACUCGCCUACAUGAAGUAGGAAUCGCUAGUAAGCGCAGAUCAGCAGGCUGCGCUGAAUACGUUCCCGGGCCUU
rnacentral:rRNA from 1 species